GAUGAAGAACGUAGCGAAAUGCGAUAAGUGAUGUGAAUUGCAGAAUUCAGUGAAUCAUCGAAUCUUUGAACGCACAUUGCGCCCUCUGGUAUUCCGGGGGGCAUGCCUGUUCGAGCGUCAUUACAACCCUCAAGCUUUGCUUGGUAUUGGACAUUGCCAGUUUCUGGCAGGUCUUAAAAUCAGUGGCGGUGCCAUUUGGCUUCAAGCGUAGUAAUUCUUCUCGCUUUGGAGAUCCAAGUGGUUACUUGCCAAUAACCCCCAAUUUUUUCAGGUUGACCUCGGAUCAGGUAGGGAUACCCGCUGAACUUAAGCAUAUCAAUAAGCGGAGGA
rnacentral:misc_RNA from 1 species